ACCCUCUCAGGAUCAUACCUGGAGAGUUUCCAGUACUCCCCUAGUUUCGGCUAUGGGAGGGAGAGUCAAACAGAGGCAUACCCAUUCCAUUCCUAGCUUGGGCAGUGGCUAGCCAAUGGAAGGCAAUAUGCUACAAGU